rnacentral:rRNA from 1 species
UUGAACGCUGGCGGCAUGCUUUACACAUGCAAGUCGAACGGCAGCGGGGGCUUCGGCCUGCCGGCGAGUGGCGAACGGGUGAGUAAUGCAUCGGAACGUGCCCAGUCAUGGGGGAUAACUACGCGAAAGCGUAGCUAAUACCGCAUACGCCCUGAGGGGGAAAGCGGGGGCUCGCAAGACCUCGCGCGAUUGGAGUGGCCGAUAUCUGAUUAGCUAGAUGGUGAGGUAAAGGCUCACCAUGGCGACGAUCAGUAGCUGGUCUGAGAGGAUGAUCAGCCACACUGGGACUGAGACACGGCCCAGACUCCUACGGGAGGCAGCAGUGGGGAAUUUUGGACAAUGGGCGAAAGCCUGAUCCAGCCAUUCCGCGUGAGUGAAGAAGGCCUUCGGGUUGUAAAGCUCUUUCAGACGGAAAGAAAUCGGGCGCGUGAAUAGCGUGCCUGGAUGACGGUACUGUCAGAAGAAGCACCGGCUAACUACGU